UGCAUGGAUGAGCCUCCGUCUUCAAAGCCUCUCCAAACUCAUUAGUUUCAGCAUCAGGUAAACGGCUCCAUCAGUGGCCUGACUAUCCAACCAUCAGACUCCCUUCUCCUGAACUGUUGGGACAGAUCUGGAAAAACACCAGAACAAUUUCCAAAACACAAGGUUUAAAAAACACGGCGAAUGAUUGCAUCACUGAUCUUAUAUCACCAACAGGCCUUCACCCAUGCGGUCUAUUUUCAAACUCAACUUUCUUCCCUGCCAGUUUCUCUGCUGAGGUCAGGUUUCAUGAAACUUUAGCACAUAAUAAAGAAACAAAUUACAUGCAGCAGCUUACAGGCCAUGAGCUAAUGCUUGCAGCAUCUGGCCUGGCUGAUGAAGUUCUUCAACAAGCCAGCAGUUCAGAGAGUACUUUUCAUGGGUUUAAAGGUCUUUCUGUUGAAACAUCAAAGCAAUGUUAGAAGGUUGGACUGAAACGUGACCGAGGUGCUGUGAUUUAAUGUUUUCUGAACAUUUAAGUCAGUUUAUAAAAUAUAGACAUGUCAUUGCAUACAGUGCGUUAAAAAAUUAGUCAGGCCGAUUUAACUGUUUCACUUUUUGUCAUGUUACCACGGCACUGCAAAUUUCUGCGUAUCUUAUUAGGAUUUUAUGAAGUAGACCAACACUUGGCUUUUUACAUUUUUUGUUACAUUCCGACCUGCAGUUCAAACAUGUUUUAUUCUUAUUUUAUGUGAUACGUCUGCACAAAAUAGUCUAAGAUGGUGAAGUGAAAUGAGGAAAAAUAUGCAUACAAAAUAAUUGAAAAGAAGAAAAAACUGAAAUUAGCAUGUUCAUAUGUAUCCACCCCAUUUGAUAUGAGGCCCCUAAAAAGUUUUGGUGCAACAAAUUACCUUCAAAAGUCACAUAAUAAAUGAAGUCCACUUGUG